UUGGACAAUGGGCGCAAGCCUGAUCCAGCCAUGCCGCGUGCAGGAUGAAGGCCCUCGGGUUGUAAACUGCUUUUGUACGGAACGAAAAGCCUCUUUCUAAUAAAGAGGGGUGAUGACGGUACCGUAAGAAUAAGCACCGGCUAACUACGUGCCAGCAGCCGCGGUAAUACGUAGGGUGCGAGCGGUAAUCGGAAUUACUGGGCGUAAAGCGUGCGCAGGCGGUCUUGCAAGACAGUGGUGAAAUCCCCGGGCUCAACCUGGGAACUGCCAUUGUGACUGCAAGGCUGGAGUAGGGCAGAGGGGGAUGGAAUUCCGCGUGUAGCAGUGAAAUGCGUAGAUAUGCGGAGGAACACCGAUGGCGAAGGCAGUCCCCUGGGCCUGUACUGACGCUCAUGCACGAAAGCGUCGGGAGCAAACA
rnacentral:rRNA from 1 species